rnacentral:misc_RNA from 1 species
AAGCAAUACUGAGUUGUCUCCUCAUAGCAUAAUAUGCUUUUGUGAAUGUUUUUCACCCAUAUAAGAUGUAUACACAUGAAAAUGGAAACAACACAUUAUGAGAACUUCCGUUCUCCUUAACUUUAGUACUCAAUUCAGAAGCUGCAAGCUUAAGAUAAAAGUCUCUGCCAUUAGUAUCGCCAUCUAAAGGUAUCUUCAGGUCAAAUAAUUCGUUUUCCCAUACCAAGCACCCUUGUUCAUAGUCCAAAGCAUAAGCAAUCCAAGAACAAUUGCCUAAGCUAGCUGAUCUGCAAUCUUCAGUAUUGUUAACGUGCAACUUCACUGGAUUACUAGGCAAAAUGAAAUUACGCAUGUGAUAAAACCCAUCUUUCUCAAGAACUCUGCUGUCGCUGCACUGCAAACUGGCUUUCCUCACACAGCGUUGGUAAGUGUCGCCCUCUUUCCAGGCAUAAGGAGAAUAGGGCCUGAAACCUUUCAAACAAGUGCAUGGUGUAUGGGCACUUUCAUUGCAGAAGCUGAAAGAUCCACAUGAAUGAAACCAACAUUUAGAAGAAACUAGUGAAUUCCAUCGGCGGUCAUGUUCUGACCAUAUCUGUUGUUUAAGCUGCCCAGAUACAUCUAACACAAUCAGAG